GAUGAACGCUGGCGGCGUGCCUAAUACAUGCAAGUCGAGCGAACAGAUGAGGAGCUUGCUCCUCUGACGUUAGCGGCGGACGGGUGAGUAACACGUGGAUAACCUACCUAUAAGACUGGGAUAACUUCGGGAAACCGGAGCUAAUACCGGAUAAUAUAUUGAAUCGCAUGGUUCAAUAGUGAAAGACGGUUUUGCUUUCACUUAUAGAUGGAUCCGCGCCGCAUUAGCUAGUUGGUAAGGUAACGGCUUACCAAGGCAACGAUGCGUAGCCGACCUGAGAGGGUGAUCAGCCACACUGGAACUGAGACACGGUCCAGACUCCUACGGGAGGCAGCAGUAGGGAAUCUUCCGCAAUGGGCGAAAGCCGGACGGGGCAACGCCGCGUGAGUGAUGAAGGUCUUCGGAUCGUAAAACUCUGUUAUUAGGGAAGAACAAAUGUGUAAGUAACUAUGCACGUCUUGACGGUACCUAAUCAGAAAGCCACGGCUAACUACGUG
rnacentral:rRNA from 1 species